rnacentral:lncRNA from 1 species
AUUAAUUGAGCUUUACCAAACAUUUAAUGCAGAGGCCUUUCUUUCCUUUUGCAAACAGUAGGUUAAAUUCUUCUAAAUUAUGUUGGUAACCUUGUAUUAUUCAUAAUUAUUCAUUAUUCCCCACUAAUGUACAUUUUAGGUAAUAAACUAAUAAUACGGUGGAAAGGGGAGAGGAGGCUUUUAGUAGUUUUGACUUUUGAGUGUCAACCUAAGCAAUUGAAUUGAGUUUUGGUCGGUGGAAGGAUUUGGAUACAUACCGUUGAUGAUGAAACGCAUUCAUUUUUCAGGAUUGUAGUGCUGAAAGCAUUUAGUAUCAAGGAUUUUAGGUGUUGUUUGGAGGAUGCCCGAGAGUUGUUUGAUAAAAUGCCUGAGAAAGGUUGUUUGCCGAAUGAGUUUAGUUUUGGGAUUUUGGUUCGUGGGUAUUGUAGGUUUGGCCUUGCUAAUAAAGGGUUGGAGCUUUUGGAUGAGAUGAGAAGUUCUGGGAUUUUUCCUAACAGAGUUGUGUAUAAUACAUUGAUUUCAAGUUUUUAUAAGGAAGGUAAAACUGGUGAUGUUGAAAAAUUGGUGGAAAGAAUGAAAGAGGAUGGUGUAAGGGAUGUUCAUAAUUAAACCCUAUAAAAUUUAAAGAAUUAAACAGUCACUUGCUCAUUUUCCAUAUUCAUAAUUAAUAUUCUCACAUUAUUGUGCAUAUAUAUUUCUUUCUCUGCUUAUUAUUUAUUUUACUUUUUGAUGCAGCUGACAUGCAAGCAGCAGCCUCUAAUGUUCUACCAACUUUAUCUCUGGUAAGCAUAUAUAUAUAUAUCUUAUAAGCCAUGCAAGUAUAGACAUAUAUAUAUAUUUAUAUAUGGUUUAUAAACAGUUGAAAGCCUAGUUGUUGAUUAUGAUGACUGUAAGGAACUUAGGUUUCAGUACUGGACUCCUUUUUAACUAUUUUAUUGCAGGAAAGGUUUAUUUUUGUAUUAUAUAUGUUUCAUAAAACUCUACAUAUAGUUUUCAUCCCUUCUCUCAUCUACUUUGGAUAUAUUUGUUCAAUUCAAUAACUAGAUAGAUGGAGUAGUUGCCUUUUGAUUUGAGCUUUUAUUUUUUAAACACUUAUCAAGAAUAUAAAAAAAAAAGCAAGGGAUGUUGGUGGAAGCAAAGGCCUUGGUUGAGUCCAUGGAGAAAAAUGGUGAUUUGAUGAAUUUAGAUAGUUAUAAUAUUUGGUCGUUGGGGUUGCUAAGAAAUGCAAAGUUAGUAGAGACUCAGUUGGUACUUAAAGAUAUGGUAGAUAAAGGUGUAGAACCUAAUAUUUACUCGUAUAACAUUGUGAUGGAUGGUCUAUGCAAGAAUGGGAUGCUUUUUGAUGCGAGAAUUGUGAUGGGUGUUAUUGUAAGGAGUGGUCUUUCCCCUGAUACAGUAACUUAUAGCACUUUACUGCACGACUACUGUAGUAAAGGGAAAUUAUCUAAAGCAAAUGCUAUUCUAAAUGAAAUGAUGAGAAAUGGUUGUGUCCCUAAUACUUAUAAUUGUAAUAUUUUGCUGCAUAGCCUAUGGAAAGAGGGUAAAAUGUUGGAGGCAAAAGAGUUAUUGCAAAAGAUGAAUGAAAAAGGCUAUGGUGUGGAUACUGUGACCUGCAAUAUUGUAAUUGAUGGUUUGUGUAAAAGUGGGAAAUUGGACAAAGCUAUGGAAGUUGCACAUGAGAUGUGGACACAUGGAAGUGCUGCUCUAGGUAACCUUGGGAACUCAUUUAUUGGCCUAGUUGAUGAUGUUAGCCGUAGCAUGAGAUGUAUUCCUGAUAGUUACAUAUUCUAUCAUAAUUAGUGCUCUAUGCAAAGUAGGAAAGAUAGAUGAAGCUAAAAAGAAAUUCAGAGAGAUGAUGGGUAAAAGCUUGCAACCCGAUGCGGUUAUUUUUGAUACUUUCAUCCAUAUUUUCUGUAAAGAAGGAAGGAAAGAUUUCAUCUGCAUUUCGAGUUCUCAAGGACAUGGAGAAAAAAGGAUGUAAUAAGAGUGUACAGACUUAUAAUUCACUAAUACUUGGCUUAGGAAGUAAAAAUCAAAUAUUUGAAAUUUAUGGACUUGUCGAUGAGAUGAGAGAAAGAGGGAUUACUCCUAAUGUUUGCAUAUACAAUAACAUUAUUCAGUCUUUGCAAAAAUGGGAAAAUCCAGGACACUACUUCUAUCUUGGAUGACGUGCUGUAAAUGGGUAUAAAUCCUAAUAUUUCUACCUUCAGGAUGUUAAUAGAAGCUUUCUGCAAGGCAAGUGAUUUUGGAGUAGCGAAGGAGUUAUUCGAGAUUGGUCUAUAUGUGGUCACAAAGAGUUUACAUACAGUUUCUAGUACCCUCACGCACAAACAAAUGAACCCAGAUAGUUAUUAUUUUCUUAGCUAAGAACAAGAUGAGAAGGAAAAACAGAAACUACUUUGAUACAAUUCAAACACAUAUAUAGAGUGGAAAAAGAAGGGUUUUGACUUACCAAGUGAUCAAAUUUGAGAACAAGAUUGGUAGGAUGAGUCGAAAAAUAGAGUUUCUUUGAGUCUGCUUGUUAUUGGUGCUGUGUUUUUUCCGGGAGAAGUGGGAAAAGAGGAGAGUGAGAAAGUAGGAGUUGAAGAGCGGAAGAGGUUUUCAGCAAAAUUUGGCUGCCAAAUCUAAAGAAAAAUAAGAAUGGGAAAGAAAUUAGUUUAACUUUCAAGGAUAAAAUGGUAAAAUAAUAAAUAAAAGUAAUGGUAUUUUUGUCUGUUAAAAAAUACCAAUAUCUCAGUUAAUUUCAAUUGCUGCUUUCAUCUCCAGUUGAUUUGGGGCUGACCAGCGUGGUGGAGAUUGCUUCUCAUGGACUAGCAUGCUGAACCAAAGGGCUGACCAGUGAGGUUGGUACCAUAUUUUCUCCCCAACUGCACCUCACUGGCAUGCAAAGCCAAACCAAAGGAAGCCUAAGGAUUGGUUGGUUGAAUUGGUAUAGCUUUGAUGGAUUUGUUUUGCCAAAUUUAUGGAAAUGUUAGAAUGGAAGUUUAGAAAUAGUUGAAUAAAUGUUUAGACAUGCUUUUAGACUAGUUUUGUAUAGGUUUAAGUCUGCAUUUAUGCACUAAAUAAACUAAUAGUUUGGAUUGGCAUGAAAUAGGUACCAAAUGACUUAUUUUUGCACUAAACAGAAUCCUUGUCUCGACAACGACCAAUAGUUUGUAACAUCCCGACAUCAAGUGGUCCAAUGUCGUGACGUGGCACACUGUUUGGCGAUGUCACGACAUGGACGAAGUCACGUGGUGAUGUCGUUUGGAAAUUUUGAAUUCUUUGAAGUGUAGUCCUUAUUCAAUCCUAGGUCAACUUCAGAGCUUACGUAACCUCGCAUAAGACUCGGGAA